ensembl:snRNA U6 U6 spliceosomal RNA
GUGACUUAAACACAAGGGCCCCUUGCUUUACGACACAUAUACCAAAAUUGCAAUGAGACUGAGAAAUGAGCUUGGCGCCUGAGCAAAGAGGACACGAAAAUUCAUGAAGCAUUUCAUAUUUUU